CCAAAGUAUGUGUUGAGCGAGCCAUCCAAUUUGGUCAGUAACGACUGAAUUGAAUUGAACAGAACCUGCAAGUCAUCAUUAAUUGAUGAAUUCUUCAUCAUUGUAAAUGCGUUGUUUGGUUUUCGUGCAAGUCGAAGGUUUCAUCAAAAGGGAGAAAGCAAAAGAAGCAGAAAUAAGAUGGAAUUCAAGAGUGUGAAAAAAAAGAGUGGCUUAAAAGCUUUGCUGGGUUUGAACCUAAAGCAUGGAUCUUGGG
rnacentral:lncRNA from 1 species